rnacentral:tRNA from 1 species
UUAAAUAGUUUAAUAAAAACAACAAUUUGUGGAAUUGUAGCUCUAAAAUUAAA